AUCUCCUCCCUCCAAAUAUAUCAUCAAAUUUUCCCUAAAUCUCUUCAACAUCUACCCCCAAAAUCAAAAUCAAAUUCUCGUUCCAAAAUCAACUUCCCUAUACAAACUAGGGCAACUUCAAUUCAAAAAAUUCUUCCAUCCUCAUCUUCUAAGGUCAGAUUUCUGGCAAAUUCCCUACCAGUCGUUGUUUCUACCUUCGCCAGACCGGAACUAGUCACUUAGCUACCGGAAUCUAGUGUUGGCAGCGAUUGGUACAAGCGAAUGAUUCCGUUUAUGCUAAUUAGCGGAUAAUUAGUCGGAUUUGGUAUAUCUUUGUCUGAAAGUGCAUUAACGGCUUCAAUUUAUGAUUUCAUGUAACUUUGUAGGUAAUCUCUCCUUUACAAAGUCAACGAAUCCGUAGAAGGACUCUUAAAAGGAUCAUAAGCUCUGUUGUUGGUUCUCUCUAGUCUGAUUUCUUCAACAAAAUCGAGACUACAAAAUGAUUCUCUCAGGUCUUCUUACUUUAUGCUGCACGUUUGCUUACCGCGGGGAUAGCCAGUGUCCUUAGACCAAGACAAUUUCAUAUAAACAAGUUGUUACCUAACGCUGGUUGGAUAAAAAACGCAUGGCAUCCUACUGAAGAUGAACUGCUGUCAUAUGCAGGACUUGAUGCAGUGGUAUUCAUGCGAAUAAUCACCUUCAGUAAUUUAAAGUAUUUACCAUCGCGGGGUUUGUUGGAAUCUUUAUUCUAAUUCCUGUGAACUGCUCGGGAAAUCAACUGCAAGAUGUCAAUUUCAUAAACAUAACAAAUAAUACAUUGGAUGUAUUUAGCAUUUCAAAUGUAAAUAAUGGAUCAACAAGUUUAUGGAUACAUUUAGGUGCUGUGUAUUUUGUCACCAUUAUUUACUCUUUUUCGGCGUCAUUUUUCAUUGCAUACGUGGUGACAUUAGGAUGGAUGAGCACUUCAUCAGAACUCUUUCGUGUGGUGCCGUUCAUAGGAACCUUAAUAUGUAAACCUUUUUCAAGAAACUCAGAUAACGUCACAGUUCUGUCUUUUCCUUAUCAUAAAGACGUUCCAAAAAUUCUUUUUUUGGACUUCUAGGAUUUACGUAUUUUUUCGUCGCUCCUCUCAUCAUUCCCUUUCUCUUGGUUUACUUUUCUCUUGCAUACAUCAUCUACCGAAACCAGGUUCGUUUAAAUUCUCUAGUCUUAAUUUUUCAUGAAAUAUAGUGGCGUUUGGUUUGCACUCUGAAUCCAUAUGGAUAUGUGAUGUAGAGCGAAAACACAAAAGAUAAACAGAGAGAAAAGUUGAUAUAUUUCUUAAUAGAGUAAAAUGCCAUUUUCGUCCCUGAGUUUGGCCAGUUUUGCGAUAUUCGUCCAAAGGUUUGUUUUUCCGCAUCUGGAUCCAAAAGGCUUGAUAUCUUGCCAUUUGAAUCUGACUCGUUAGCUCCAUCCAUUUUUCUCUGUUAAGUCAGGGGUAUUUCCGUCUUUUUUGUUAAUUUAAAGAGCAAUUUAGUCUUUUUCACAUUAGGUACAAACAUCUAGCAUAAUGUACAGGUAUUCAAAAUACCCUUACUAAAUACAAGUUCACAAAAAAAGAUGGAAAUACCCCUGACUUAACGGAGAAAAAUGGAUGGAGUUAACGAGCCGGAUGAAAAUGGCAAGAUUUCAAACCUUUUGGGUCCAGAUGCGAAAAAACAAACCUUUGAACGAAAGUCGCAAAAUUGGACAAACCUCAGGGACGAAAAUGACAUUUUACUCUAGCGAUAUUUAAAUCAUGACAUUAGGGUCCUAGUGAUAGAGAAUUCUAAAUUUGGCAGGUAUUGCCAAGUUUUCGAAUUUACAACUGUCACAUACUUAUUGAAAUUAAAGACAUAAGUUUACGCAUAGAUCGAUCACUGAUUUAUGCGUUUUACACUGAAAAAUCAUACUGUCAAACCAAACGCCACCUAAGACACUUUCUACGAACUGAAUGAUCUUUUGUUUGCGUUUUACACAAGUCUAUCUUUCAACUUAGUCGGUAAAUAGUAUAUAUGUAAAUUUCAAUUUGAUCCAUUUACUUUGGGUUGUGUUUUGUCUCCAACUUCUUAAAAUGGGCGUAAUAGGAAAAUUUAAAUAAAACGGGAACAUGUCAAAUGGUCUAAAGUAUAUUAUUUCAUUUUAUUAUUAUAUAUCAUCUGAAUAAAUAUCUUUUGGGUGUUUUUGUUUAUGUUAUGUUCCCUCUAACUAAUUACUUUGAUUGUAUGUUAUUGUAUUACUACAUUCUUUGGAAAGCUAUGGGCUUGAAGAAGAUACUUGGAAUCCUAUAGAUGGCAUGGGGUUGAGCUUUAGUUUAUGGUGGUGCUAAGGCAAUUCAGAAUGAGAAAGUAUUAAAGCUUGAAGUUGUCAUGCUGAAUUUAUGUACAUGCUCAAUCAUCUAGUGUUCUUCUUUGAAUUCUUCUUUAGAGAAAUUUUGACCAUUCUGAAGAUGCAACGCGAUGUUGCAGUGUAACACAUGACCAUUACUGUUGUUUGAGCUUUGAACUGAUGAUUUGAAGUUGAAACAUUUGGAUUAACACUUGGAUAUGAAAAAAAUCCACUGUUGUUGUUUGAGCUUUGAUUGACUGAUCCGGAUGAGUUUUCUGCACUGAAAGCAGUUUGGAUCUUUGGACUAGCUUCAACAUUUUGAACAUUACCUUUGUAGUACAUCUUGAUGUCUUGUUGACCGCUUGAAUUGUUCAUUGUAGCAAUCUUUUGUUGCUCAAGAUCUUGUCCCUCAAGUUUCUCAAUAAAUUGUGCAAUCGAAAAUCUA